rnacentral:rRNA from 13 species
CGAGAGGACCGGAGUGGACGAACCUCUGGUGUUCCGGUUGUCACGCCAGUGGCACUGCCGGGUAGCUACGUUCGGACGGGAUAACCGCUGAAAGCAUCUAAGCGGGAAGCCUCCCUCAAGAUGAGAUCUCCCUGGGCACUUGAUGCCCCUAAAGGGCCGUGGAAGACCACCACGUUGAUAGGCGGGAUGUGGACGCGCUGUGAGGCGUGAAGCUAACCCGUACUAAUUGCCCGUGCGGCUUGACC